rnacentral:rRNA from 1 species
GACUACAGGGGUAUCUAAUCCUGUUCGCUCCCCACGCUUUCGUGCAUCAGCGUCAGUAACAGUUUAGUAAGCUGCCUUCGCAAUCGGUGUUCUGUGUAAUAUCUAAGCAUUUCACCGCUACACUACACAUUCCGCUUACCUCAACUGUACUCAAGCUUGUCAGUAUCAAUGGCAAUUUUACCGUUAAGCGGCAAGAUUUCACCACUGACUUAAAAAGCCGCCUACGCACCCUUUAAACCCAAUGAAUCCGGAUAACGCUUGCAUCCUCCGUAUUACCGCGGCUGCUGGCACGGAGUUAGCCGAUGCUUAUUCAUACACUACCGUCAGACCAGGACUCGUCCUGUUUUUUCUUGGUGUAUAAAAGCAGUUUACAACCCAUAGGGCCGUCAUCCUGCACGCGGGAUGGCUGGUUCAGGCUUGCGCCCAUUGACCAAUAUUCCUCACUGCUGCCCCCCGUAGG